rnacentral:rRNA from 1 species
GACGGAGGGUGCUAGCGUUGUUCGGAAUCACUGGGCGUAAAGGGCGCGUAGGCGGCCUUGCAAGUCGGUUGGUGAAAGCCCGGGGCUCAACCCCGGAGGUGCGGCCGAGACUGCAGGGCUGGAGGCCGGAAGAGGAGGGUGGAAUACCCAGUGUAGAGGUGAAAUUCGUAGAUAUUGGGUGGAACACCGGUGGCGAAGGCGGCAUCCUGGACCGGUAUUGACGCUGAGGCGCGAAAGCCAGGGGAGCAAACGGG